rnacentral:rRNA from 1 species
GUACACAAAAAUGCACAUGCUGUGAGCUCGAUGAGUAGGGCGGGACACGUGGUAUCCUGUCUGAAUAUGGGGGGACCAUCCUCCAAGGCUAAAUACUCCUGACUGACCGAUAGUGAACCAGUACCGUGAGGGAAAGGCGAAAAGAACCCCGGCGAGGGGAGUGAAAAAGAACCUGAAACCGUGUACGUACAAGCAGUGGGAGCACGCUUAGGCGUGUGACUGCGUACCUUUUGUAUAAUGGGUCAGCGACUUAUAUUCUGUAGCAAGGUUAACCGAAUAGGGGAGCCGAAGGGAAACCGAGUCUUAACUGGGCGUUAAGUUGCAGGGUAUAGACCCGAAACCCGGUGAUCUAGCCAUGGGCAGGUUGAAGGUUGGGUAACACUAACUGGAGGACCGAACCGACUAAUGUUGAAAAAUUAGCGGAUGACUUGUGGCUGGGGGUGAAAGGCCAAUCAAACCGGGAGAUAGCUGGUUCUCCCCGAAAGCUAUUUAGGUAGCGCCUCGUGAAUUCAUCUCCGGGGGUAGAGCACUGUUUCGGCAAGGGGGUCAUCCCGACUUACCAACCCGAUGCAAACUGCGAAUACCGGAGAAUGUUAUCACGGGAGACACACGGCGGGUGCUAACGUCCGUCGUGAAGAGGGAAACAACCCAGACCGCCAGCUAAGGUCCCAAAGUCAUGGUUAAGUGGGAAACGAUGUGGGAAGGCCCAGACAGCCAGGAUGUUGGCUUAGAAGCAGCCAUCAUUUAAAGAAAGCGUAAUAGCUCACUGGUCGAGUCGGCCUGCGCGGAAGAUGUAACGGGGCUAAACCAUGCACCGAAGCUGCGGCAGCGACACUGUGUGUUGUUGGGUAGGGGAGCGUUCUGUAAGCCUGCGAAGGUGUGCUGUGAGGCAUGCUGGAGGUAUCAGAAGUGCGAAUGCUGACAUAAGUAACGAUAAAGCGGGUGAAAAGCCCGCUCGCCGGAAGACCAAGGGUUCCUGUCCAACGUUAAUCGGGGCAGGGUGAGUCGACCCCUAAGGCGAGGCCGAAAGGCGUAGUCGAUGGGAAACAGGUUAAUAUUCCUGUACUUGGUGUUACUGCGAAGGGGGGACGGAGAAGGCUAUGUUGGCCGGGCGACGGUUGUCCCGGUUUAAGCGUGUAGGCUGGUUUUCCAGGCAAAUCCGGAAAAUCAAGGCUGAGGCGUGAUGACGAGGCACUACGGUGCUGAAGCAACAAAUGCCCUGCUUCCAGGAAAAGCCUCUAAGCAUCAGGUAACAUCAAAUCGUACCCCAAACCGACACAGGUGGUCAGGUAGAGAAUACCAAGGCGCUUGAGAGAACUCGGGUGAAGGAACUAGGCAAAAUGGUGCCGUAACUUCGGGAGAAGGCACGCUGAUAUGUAGGUGAAGUCCCUCGCGGAUGGAGCUGAAAUCAGUCGAAGAUACCAGCUGGCUGCAACUGUUUAUUAAAAACACAGCACUGUGCAAACACGAAAGUGGACGUAUACGGUGUGACGCCUGCCCGGUGCCGGAAGGUUAAUUGAUGGGGUCAGCGCAAGCGAAGCUCUUGAUCGAAGCCCCGGUAAACGGCGGCCGUAACUAUAACGGUCCUAAGGUAGCGAAAUUCCUUGUCGGGUAAGUUCCGACCUGCACGAAUGGCGUAAUGAUGGCCAGGCUGUCUCCACCCGAGACUCAGUGAAAUUGAACUCGCUGUGAAGAUGCAGUGUACCCGCGGCAAGACGGAAAGACCCCGUGAACCUUUACUAUAGCUUGACACUGAACAUUGAGCCUUGAUGUGUAGGAUAGGUGGGAGGCUUUGAAGUGUGGACGCCAGUCUGCAUGGAGCCGACCUUGAAAUACCACCCUUUAAUGUUUGAUGUUCUAACGUUGACCCGUGAUCCGGGUUGCGGACAGUGUCUGGUGGGUAGUUUGACUGGGGCGGUCUCCUCCUAAAGAGUAACGGAGGAGCACGAAGGUUGGCUAAUCCUGGUCGGACAUCAGGAGGUUAGUGCAAUGGCAUAAGCCAGCUUGACUGCGAGCGUGACGGCGCGAGCAGGUGCGAAAGCAGGUCAUAGUGAUCCGGUGGUUCUGAAUGGAAGGGCCAUCGCUCAACGGAUAAAAGGUACUCCGGGGAUAACAGGCUGAUACCGCCCAAGAGUUCAUAUCGACGGCGGUGUUUGGCACCUCGAUGUCGGCUCAUCACAUCCU